rnacentral:rRNA from 1 species
UACGUAGGUGGCGAGCGUUGUCCGGAAUUACUGGGCGUAAAGGGUGCGUAGGCGGUAUUUUAAGUCAGAUGUGAAAAUCCCGGGCUCAACCUGGGAAGUGCAUUUGAAACUGGGGUACUAGAGUGCAGGAGAGGGAAGCGGAAUUCCUAGUGUAGCGGUGAAAUGCGUAGAUAUUAGGAAGAACACCAGUGGCGAAGGCGGCUUUCUGGACUGUAACUGACGCUGAGGCACGAAAGCGUGGGGAGCAAACAGG